GCCUUCGUAAUCCAUCGUGUAGCCUUAGUGAUCCAUCGUGUAGGCUACGGCUGAGAUAUGAAGCUUAAAUACCCGUCUUCGGUUAACCUUCGUAUGUCCAUCUUUUACUAUCGUAUACAAUUUCGGCACCAUCGUAUAGACUUCGUUGUUCAUCGUACUUGCUUCGGUCACUUUUUGGUAUUUUAACGAGAUCGGGACCAACUUCGUACGAACUUACAAUUUUCGCAUUCGGGUGUCCAUCGUAUAUAAAAAUCGGGACAGUGUGACGCGGGCA
rnacentral:lncRNA from 1 species